GCGGGAAUCCUCCUGUGAUGUCACUUCCUUCUUUUGCAUUAUAGAGAGCCUUGUUAGAAAGGAAGUGGAUUUUUUUUGUGUGUUUAACAAUAAAGCUGCACACACCUGCUCUCGUUCUCCUUCUCUUUUGAAUCUGUGCGCGUGCCUAUAUUUGUAAUUUUUUUUCGUGUAUGUUUUAUUUGGGUGUGUGUAUUUUUGUGGGUGUGUGUCCCGUGUUUGUAUUUGCGCGUGGGUUUCAAUGAGUUUAUGGACAGAAAAAGGCGAGAGAUGGAUGGAGGGACAACAAGGAAGGAAUUUACAAAACACACGCACGAACACACAGGUGGGGUCAAAGUGCAACGCUUUAUCGGGCGCGUGAGUGUGUGUCUUCAAGUCACUAGUUACAGUGUGCUGCGGUAGUAAAGGUCAAGACGGUCCGGGGAGAUCGCCGCGGCGGCGACGACGACGGACAAGCUGGAUGACACGGUGAUGUCCUUGCGUGCACACACACACACACACACACACGCGUGUAUUGAUUAAGUGUUUUUGCGUAGAUGUGUUCGUGUUGUGCCUCGUCCUUCAUCCGCCUGAAGAACGCAUGUCCUCGACCGUGUGGGUUCAUUAACCUGCUAAUCACCCAAGCAUGUGUGUUGGCUCUGCUCUUCGGCACGGUGUGGUCAGUAACAGGAAGCGAGUGUUUGCCAGGAGGGAAAGUCUUCGGCGUGGUCAUCAUCUUCAUCGGCGCUGUGCUGGGGGGGCGACUAGUCGGGAUGGUCCAGUUUCCCGGCCUGCCCCCAAUCCCGCCGCUGCUUGGUAUGCUCCUGGCCGGCCUGAUUCUGAGGAAUGUUCCGUACGUCACGGACGCCGUCUAUGUGGACGCCGCCUGGUCCGCGGCUUUGAGGAGCAUGGCGCUGUCCGUCAUCCUGGCCCGAGCCGGUCUGGGCCUGGACCCUUCGGCGCUACGUCGCCUGAAGGCCGUAUGCCUGCGCGUGGCGGUCGGCCCGUGCGUGACGGAGGCGUGCGUCGUUGCUGUGCUUUCUCACUUCCUGUUGGCUCUGCCGUGGGCAUGGGGUUUCCUGUUGGGGUUUGUCCUGGCGGCGGUGUCUCCGGCCGUCGUGGUUCCGUCCAUGUUGCUCCUGCAGAAGGAAGGUUACGGCAGCGAGAAGGGUAUCCCGACACUCCUGAUGGCCGCCGGCAGCUUUGACGACAUUUUGGCCAUCACGGGCUUCUCCACCUGUCUGGGCGUGGCCUUCUCCACAGGUUCAGCUUCUGUUCGCUUCGGGCCCGAUUGGGUUCUCCUCGCCAUUCACCUUGUUUUUGCGUGGUCAGGUUCCACGUGGAUGAGCGUCCUGAAGGGUCUCUUGGAGGUGGUGGGCGGGGUGGUGGGCGGCGUCCUAGUGGGCGUCUUCUUGUGUUUGUUCCCCAGUGCGGACCAGGAAGACUUGGUGGUGACCAGGAGCUUCUUCCUGAUUGCGUUCUCGGUCUUCGCCGUCUUCUUCACCCAAGUGAUGGGCGCCUCCGGGGCCGGCGGGCUGUGCACCUUGGUUCUGGCCUUCCUGGCCGCCCUGGGCUGGGGCACUAACAAGGUGGGGGUGGCGGCCGUCUUGGGGAGGUGUUGGGAUGUGUUCCAACCCCUCCUCUUCGGCCUGAUUGGAGCAGAGAUCAUCGUAACGAAGCUGAGCCUGAGCACCGUGGGUCUGGGCGCGGCCGUGAUCGCCGUCGGUCUGGUGGUGCGGCUGGUCGCCACCUUUGCGCUGGUGCACGGCGCGGGCUUCGCGCUCAAAGAGAAACUCUUCAUCGCCGUCGCCUGGCUGCCCAAAGCGACGGUGCAGGCGGCCAUCGGCUCCAAAGCCUUGGACACGGCGAGGGACCUGGGUGAUGACACCUUGGCAAAGUUCGGCUUGGAUGUGCUAACGUUAGCCGUGUUAGCCAUCUUGAUCACCGCCCCCAUCGGAGCGCUUGGCAUCGGCCUGGCGGGGCCGCGCCUCCUGAGCCGCCAAGUCAAAGCGUCUGAAGCAGUGGGUGACAUGCCAACCCCGGCUGGCCAAGGUCAAGACCGUGUGAUUUUUGAGAGCAGUCUGUGAAGACCUUCCUUGAACCCAAACAAUUCCAAAUGACCUUUUUAGUGUAUCUACGUAUUUGUGUCUGGAUAUCUUAUCCACCCCUCAAGAAUAAAAUUAAACAACAAAGUCAGUGUUUAGAUACCGUAAUUCUGCCAAAUCAUUAGCAAGCAGGCGAAUGAACAUAAUCAUCAGCAAGUGUAAUUUUGUUGCUGGCUGAUGAAAUGCUGCAUCCACCAGUGAUAAUGCAAUGGAAUCUCUGUGGCCUCUUGCCCUGGAAACAAGUUAAUUUGACUAUCUGCUGUAAAAACAAACAAACAAAAAACGUCUGUUUUAUCCUUGAAUAUUUUGGAACACUUUUAAAUCCUUAAAUGUAUCUCUCAAUGUAUACAUACGUGUAUGUAAUGUUAUAACCUGAUGUAAAAAAAAAAAAAAAUCGACGUAACAACUAAAAAAAAACACAUUUUACCAAUAAAACAUUUUUCUUCCCCUAAAGUUUACAACGUUUUAAUUCCUGCAGCAUUUUGGCGCACAGGUGGUAAUUCCGUUUUAUUAAUCGAUUUAAAUGACGCAAUUGUCCAAACCGGAAGUUAGCUAAGAAAACGCCAUGUUAGCCCCAUCUUCUGGACACAAGAUGCCGUUUGCAUCGUCACCUCUGUCGUGAGGUCAAGACCCGCGGGAACGUCGCUGAGACCGGCCGCCGUGCAGUUGAGUCGCACUCGGUGGUUCGUGUCCCGAUCCCGAGGGCAAUCGUGCACGGCGGGAUCCGUGGU